AUUGAACGCUGGCGGCAUGCCUUACACAUGCAAGUCGAACGACAGCGCGGGGCAACCUGGCGGCGAGUGGCGAACGGGUGAGUAAUAUAUCGGAACGUACCCUGGAGUGGGGGGAUAACGUAGCGAAAGUUACGCUAAUACCGCAUACGAUCUAAGGAUGAAAGUGGGGGAUCGCAAGACCUCAUGCUCCUGGAGCGGCCGAUAUCUGAUUAGCUAGUUGGUGGGGUAAAGGCUACCAAGGCAUCGAUCAGUAGCUGGUCUGAGAGGACGACCAGCCACACUGGAACUGAGACACGGUCCAGACUCUACGGGAGGCAGCAGUGGGGAAUUUUUGGACAAUGGGCGCAAGCCUAGAUCCAGCAAUG
rnacentral:rRNA from 1 species